UUAGCAAAGCUCGGCAAUUGGUAGUCUAAUAAUUUGGAAAUAACCAAAUCUUAAUUCCCUCAUCAUUCAUGACCUGAGCUCCAAAUGACAGCAAUAUUCCUUUCAAGUUCAACUGGAAAGCAACGUUGCUGCCAUGUGACUGAUGGCUACUUUCCAACUGUGAAUGCUAGGAAACAUCACAAUUUUAGAAAUUUACUUUACACAUAAAAAGUACUGUUAAUUGAUAUGCGAGACUGCAUUGGUUUUCAGGGAAGAGAGAAAAGAGCAUGCUAUCUGAUCUUGAAAAGCGUGUGCAGAUAAGAUAGCUGCUGCAGAGGAGUCGCUGAAAAAGAAGAAGCAGGUUUGAGAUGAAGCUGAAAAAUACAUAUGAUCAGCUACAUUUCAGCAGGUUUGCAUACUUACCGCCAUCAAUCCUUCUUUUUUUUUUUUUUAAUGUCGGAUGGAUGUUUAAGUAUUUAUAUAUGUACAUAUAUGUACAUAUAAGGUUGGAUCUUUCAAGCUAGAUAGUUGUAAUCUUCCUGGCUUUUUGUUGUAGUUUUAGCUGCAUCUGUUUCUGCUAAAUAGUUCUUU